GUUGAACGCUGGCGGCAGGCCUAACACAUGCAAGUCGAGCGAAUGAAGGGAGCUUGCUCCUGGAUUCAGCGGCGGACGGGUGAGUAAUGCCUAGGAAUCUGCCUGGUAGUGGGGGAUAACGUCCGGAAACGGGCGCUAAUACCGCAUACGUCCUGAGGGAGAAAGUGGGGGAUCUUCGGACCUCACGCUAUCAGAUGAGCCUAGGUCGGAUUAGCUAGUUGGUGGGGUAAAGGCCUACCAAGGCGACGAUCCGUAACUGGUCUGAGAGGAUGAUCAGUCACACUGGAACUGAGACACGGUCCAGACUCCUACGGGAGGCAGCAGUGGGGAAUAUUGGACAAUGGGCGAAAGCCUGAUCCAGCCAUGCCGCGUGUGUGAAGAAGGUCUUCGGAUUGUAAAGCACUUUAAGUUGGGAGGAAGGGCAGUAAGUUAAUACCUUGCUGUUUUGACGUUACCAACAGAAUAAGCACCGGCUAACUUCGUU
rnacentral:rRNA from 1 species